rnacentral:rRNA from 1 species
AUGGAGCCUGCAAUCUUCAUAUCAUUGGCCAAUUACCUUCGAAGGGAAAGGUUGGUCUGUGGCACUAGGAUUAAGGUUGAGGAGAAACUAGCGUUUUUCAUGUAUAUGCUUAGUCCUAAUGCAUCAUUCGAGGAUCUCCAAGGACAAUUUGGACACAACAAUGAAAACUAUCAUCGCCAUAUGAAGCAUUUUUUGAAAAGGUUGUCCCAACCCUCUACCAUAGAUUUGUGA